rnacentral:rRNA from 1 species
ACUCCUACGGGAGGCAGCAGUGGGGAAUAUUGCACAAUGGGCGCAAGCCUGAUGCAGCCAUGCCGCGUGUGUGAAGAAGGCCUUCGGGUUGUAAAGCACUUUCAGCAGUGAGGAAGGCGGAGUCGUUAAUAGCGGCCUCGUUUGACGUUAGCUGCAGAAGAAGCACCGGCUAACUCCGUGCCAGCAGCCGCGGUAAUACGGAGGGUGCGAGCGUUAAUCGGAAUUACUGGGCGUAAAGCGCAUGCAGGUGGUUUGUUAAGUCAGAUGUGAAAGCCCGGGGCUCAACCUCGGAAUAGCAUUUGAAACUGGCAGACUAGAGUACUGUAGAGGGGGGUAGAAUUUCAGGUGUAGCGGUGAAAUGCGUAGAGAUCUGAAGGAAUACCGGUGGCGAAGGCGGCCCCCUGGACAGAUACUGACACUCAGAUGCGAAAGCGUAGGGGAGCAAACAGGAUUAGAUACCCUGGUAGGAUAGCG